AAGGUCCAUGGUGCUUGGUUUGACAUUAUGUCUGUUAUUAUGGUAAAACAUCUGCUGGAAGAGUUAGCUGCCAUAUUUGGAUUGUACAUCAAUCAAGAGAGGCAGAAUGGAAGGUACAGUUCCUGGAAAAAGAGUAGAUCAGUUUAGGGAUCAGCUGAAGGAGGGGUCUAUUUACACCACUGAGAAAUUUGAUUUGUAUGAUCCUAGAAAGAGCUACAGGUCAGUAGAUCAUCCUUUGCGGAUCUUCUUUACUAUGAGGACUAUUGUGUCAGAGGUGGUGCCGCCGCCGGAGAAUUUUCCUAUGUACACCUAUACUAUUGUCCCGUUUAGCAUGCUGUCAGAUUGCAUUGAUCAGAAUAACUUAUAUCCAAUUUACAGAUGUUGUCGGAUGGCUUAACAAAGUCACCGAUGUUUUUGCCUCCUUAUGGUAAUACAAAGACCCAAAAGAGACAAAUUUAUAUCACGGAUGGAAGGUGUCGAUCGCUGCUAUCUUAAAUUUCUUUUUUCCAUAGUCUGCAUCUGCCAAGGCACGUCGAAUUACACACUAGAAACCAAAGUCAUACAGAGCCGACCGUGUCAAUGAUCACGGAAAUAGCGACAUUAGGACCCAAUUGCAUCAUGGGUGAACGGUACAAGAUGUCCAUUUGAAUUACUGAGGUUCUUACAGACAAAGGCUGGUAUUACAUAAGUUGCAAAGAAUGUUAGAAAAAACUUAAGCUAGAUGAUAGGGUAUACAAAUACCCGCCCCUAAGUGUCCUGCUGUUAUACCUCUUCCAAGAUAUAGGUUUAUUGUCCGAGCAGUUAAUUCUGCUUCAGCAGAUCCACAUACCGGCAAAUUCACAAACUUUAUUUGUUUGGGCCUCGCGGAGAGGUUGUUGUCGGAAAAGAAGCAUUCACUUGUGUCCAGUGUCAGAGGAACGGCUAAUACUGUGCUUCAGGAUUUGCUUGCCAUCGUGGGAAGAGAGUUCAGCGUUGUUGUUGCUCCUAGACGUGAAUCUCGCUGGAUACAUUGCACAGCCACCUUCGGGUCCAGAUUGCUGAUCCGAUUUCCGUGCCACUGUUACUCGACGACGGGGCAUGGAUAAUUCAGCCACAAGUCAAGGCAAUGAGAAUCUCUCUGCUCCUCCUGAAACUCCAAAACAUGUUCAAGGUCCAAGUGAGACUUCCACUCCACCACCAUCUAUGGAUCCCACGUUACAAAGUGCAGCAUCAUCGGCUUCUGUUAUUGAUGAGACUGGCUCUCAUGUGGCUGAAGGGGAAAGACAAAAAAACGUUGUUGGUGGCAAGAACCCUAAUCUUAGAAGGGAUUACACUUCACAGAUGAUGACUAGGAUCUUGGACACACAGGAUAUAAAGGGCACAAUAUCUUGGACAUCUGUCUACACACUGGUCUUCUGCAGAUGAAUGCAGCGAGGGAGCUUUGUUAUUCCCGAGCUGUUGUUCAGGGCCUAUAUGUUUGGACCCUGAAUACACUUUCAUGUUUAUGUAUCUGCGUCAACCACCCGGUUAGGCUAUGUGCUUAGGUUGUAUGUGUUAUUUAGCCUCAUAGAUGUUGUGUUUGGAUUGCUAGAAGCGAUUUGUCAGUUGCCGUUUCUAAUGUACUAUAUCUUUCCCCGCACUGCUUAUGUUUUAUAUUGUACAAUUUCCA